AGUGGAUGGAUGCAUGGCUGUGGCUGUUCCGCUCUCCCUUCUUCUAAUGCAAGCCUCCAGAAAUGUGUCCGACUGGUGACUUUCUCACUGGAUUUCCCAUUUGAAGAACAAUACGACUGAGCUGGUGUCACUGUCAACGCUGACCUCCUUCUCUCCUGAGAGACUUGUGUUUCACGCACCUGACAGAGGUUCAGAUACUACGGGGAAUACAAUUUCCAAGAAUCUGUUCCCAUGAAGAAACAAACUCAUCUACAUUUUGGAUGACCAGAGGCCUCACGCUUUUCCAGUUUAUUCACACUUCUCCGAAACACUCAGCAGUCUGUCUACAGUGGACACCAGGUGUGUUUGGUUUGAAGAAAUUUCUGGGUCAUAUUUCACAGUAAAAUAAUUUGAGGAGGAGAAUGAGAGGCGCUGUCUCUUUAACAGUAAUGCUGCCAUGCAGUGGCUGGACGUUCGGCUCCAGAUGACCGGUGUGUCUCUGAAGUAACCGUCAUCAGUGUGAUCACUGUGAUCCAGCAUCAGCUCAAAUCCCAGGUUAACCUCUUUAUAAGAUUAGAGUGUAAAUUCACAUGAAAGGCAUUUAGCAGGUGCUCUUUACCAGAAUCUUUAGCUUAAUGUCAGACAGCCACAGUCAACAGAGCUUUGAGAAUGUUAACUAUUGGGCAAAUUAUGAAUUAAAAUAAGUUUCACAUGUACUUUAUUGGUCUAUAAUGGAACGUUUAUGAAACCCAACUCUACUGCAGCACUAUUGUCCAGUUUCAGAAGAUCAUCAUCCAGUCUCUGUCCUAUGCACUGUCCAUCACCAAUCUAAUGUCAGGCUUGAUUUUCAGCUUUGCGCAGGCAAUAUAUUUUAAUCAUCCAGGAUCCCUUCCUGUUCUUCAGCACAGUGCGAGAGAACCUUGAUCCCCGUGGCCUCCAUCCAGACUUACAGUUGCUGCCCUUGAGCAAUGCCACCUGGGAGAUUU